AGCGAACGCUGGCGGCAGGCUUAACACAUGCAAGUCGAACGGGCACCCUCGGGUGUCAGUGGCAGACGGGUGAGUAACGCGUGGGAACGUACCUUUUGGUUCCGGAACAACACAGGGAAACUUGUGCUAAUACCGGAUAAGCCCUUACGGGGAAAGAUUUAUCGCCGAAAGAUCGGCCCGCGUCUGAUUAGCUAGUUGGUGAGGUAAUGGCUCACCAAGGCACGAUCAGUAGCUGGUCUGAGAGGAUGAUCAGCCACAUUGGGACUGAGACACGGCCCAAACUCCUACGGGAGGCAG
rnacentral:rRNA from 1 species